UACGGAGGUCUCAAGCGUUGUUCGGAUUCAUUGGGCGUAAAGGGUGCGUAGGCGGCGCGGUAAGUCGGGUGUGAAAUCUCGGAGCUUAACUCCGAAACUGCAUUCGAUACUGCGGUGCUUGAGGACUGGAGAGGAGACUGGAAUUCAUGGUGUAGCAGUGAAAUGCGUAGAGAUCAUGAGGAAGACCAGUGGCGAAGGCGGGUCUCUGGACAGUUCCUGACACUGAGGCACGAAGGUCAGGGGAGCAAACGGG
rnacentral:rRNA from 1 species